GACGGGGCCCGCACAAGCGUGGAUGAUGUGGUUUAAUUCGAUGCAACGCGAAAACCUUACCCACCUUUGACAUGUACGGAACCCUUUAGAGAUAGAGGGGUGCUCGAAAGAGAGCCGUAACACAGGUGCUGCAUGGCUGUCGUCAGCUCGUGUCGUGAGAUGUUGGGUUAAGUCCCGCAACGAGCGCAACCCUUGUCAUUAGUUGCUACAUUCAGUUGGGCACUCUAAUGAGACUGCCGGUGACAAGCCGGAGGAAGGUGGGGAUGACGUCAAGUCCUCAUGGCCCUUAUAGGUGGGGCUACACACGUCAUACAAUGGCUGGUACAAAGGGUUGCCAACCCGCGAGGGGGAGCCAAUCCCAUAAAGCCAGUCGUAGUCCGGAUCGUAGUCUGCAACUCGACUACGUGAAGUCGGAAUCGCUAGUAAUCGUGGAUCAGAAUGUCACGGUGAAUACGUUCCCGGGUCUU
rnacentral:rRNA from 1 species